AGAGUUUGAUCAUGGCUCAGGAUGAACGCUAGCGGCAGGCCUAAUACAUGCAAGCCGAACGGCAAGUUUUGUAGCAAUACGAGACCUAGAGUGGCGUAAGGGUGCGUAACACGUAUGCAAUCUACCCUCAACAGGAGGAUAGCUCCCCGAAAGGGGAAUUAAGACUCCAUAAGAUAUCAGAGUGGCAUCACUUAGAUAUUAAAGUACAAGCGGUUGAGGAUGAGCAUGCGUCUGAUUAGUUAGUUGGCGGGGUAACGGCCCACCAAGACGAUGAUCAGUAGGGGAACUGAGAGGUUGAUCCCCCACACUGGCACUGAGAUACGGGCCAGACUCCUACGGGAGGCAGCAGUAGGGAAUAUUGGACAAUGGGUGCAAGCCUGAUCCAGCCAUGCCGCGUGCAGGAAGAAGGCCUUCUGGGUUGUAAACUGCUUUUGCCGGGGGAUAAAAUAGUCUUGCGAGACGAAUUGAAGGUACCCGGUGAAUAAGCCACGGCUAACUACGUGCCAGCAGCCGCGGUAAUACGUAGGUGGCAAGCGUUGUCCGGAUUUAUUGGGUUUAAAGGGUGCGUAGGCGGUCAAAUAAGUCAGUUGUGAAAUACGGCAGCUCAACUGUCGAGGUGCAAUUGAUACUGUUUGACUUGAGUAUUGUUGAGGUAGGCGGAAUGGACGGUGUAGCGGUGAAAUGCUUAGAGAUCGUCCAGAACACCGAUAGCGAAGGCAGCUUACUAAAGAAUAACUGACGCUGAGGCACGAAGGUGUGGGGAUCAAACAGGAUUAGAUACCCUAGUAGUCC
rnacentral:rRNA from 1 species